rnacentral:lncRNA from 1 species
GGAGAACAAUGGAGGAAUGGGAACUAGAUUUGGAAAACAGCCAAUUUUAUCAUCAUCCUCAAAGUAAAACAUGGGUUGAGAUAAGUUCUCAGUUCCAGCUGACUUCUGCUUCUAAUGCUGUGGGAAAAUUUUCUGAUGUGAGUUAUCAAGGACCUCCUCACCAUUAAAUGCAAGUUCAAGAAACAGAAGUAAGAGAAGGCAUGGUAUGUAAAUUUACUCAAUA